rfam:Danio rerio chromosome 11, GRCz11 reference primary assembly.
CGCCACAGCCAUAUCACCCUGCAGCCCAAGACCGGUUACUCACUGAAGCUAAGCAGGGCUGAGCCUGGUUAGUACCUGGAUGGGAGACCACUAGGGAACACUAGGUUGCUGUUGGAA